rnacentral:rRNA from 1 species
AGAGUUUGAUCCUGGCUCAGAUUGAACGCUGGCGGCAUGGUUAAAACAUGCAAGUCGAACGAUGAAAGCCCCUUCGGGGGUGCAUGAAGUGGCGAAAGGGCGAGGAAUACGUUCCUACGUACCCCAAGGUCAGGGAUAGCCCCGGGAAACUGGGAGUAAUACCUGAUGAUCUCUCCGGAGCAAAGGCUUCGGCCACCUUGGGAGCGGGGAACGCCCUAUCAGGUAGUUGGUGAGGUAACGGCUCACCAAGCCUUAGACGGGUAGCGGGUGUGAGAGCGUGACCCGCCGCAUCGGGACUGAGACACUGCCCGGACUCCUACGGGAGGCUGCAGUAACGAAUAUUCCGCAAUGCGCGAAAGCGUGACGGAGCAAUGCCGCGUGUGGGAUGAAGCUCUUCGGAGUGUAAACCACUGUCAGAGUUUAGGA